CUCCUUUGACGUUAGCGGCGGACGGGUGAGUAACACGUGGGUAACCUACCUAUAAGACUGGGAUAACUUCGGGAAACCGGAGCUAAUACCGGAUAAUAUUUCGAACCGCAUGGUUCGAUAGUGAAAGGUGGUUUUGCUAUCACUUAUAGAUGGACCCGCGCCGUAUUAGCUAGUUGGUAAGGUAACGGCUUACCAAGGCGACGGUACGUAGCCGACCUGAGAGGGUGAUCGGCCACACUGGAACUGAGACACGGUCCAGACUCCUACGGGAGGCAGCAGAC
rnacentral:rRNA from 1 species